CAGAUGCUAAUACCGCAUAACAACGUUGUUCGCAUGAACAACGUUUCAAAGAUGGCCUCUGGCUAUCACUUCUGGAUGGACCUGCGGUGCAUUAGCUUGUUGGUGGGGUAAUGGCCUACCAAGGCGAUGAUGCAUAGCCGAGUUGAGAGACUGAUCGGCCACAAUGGGACUGAGACACGGCCCAUACUCCUACGGGAGGCAGCAGUAGGGAAUCUUCCACAAUGGGCGCAAGCCUGAUGGAGCAACACCGCGUAAGUGAAGAAGGGUUUCGGCUCGUAAAGCUCUGUUGUUAAAGAAGAACAUGCGUGAGAGUAACUGUUCACGCAUUGACGGUAUUUAACCAGAAAGUCACGGCUAACUACGUGCCAGCAGCCGCGGUAAUACGUAGGUGGCAAGCGUUAUCCGGAUUUAUUGGGCGUAAAGAGAGUGCAGGCGGUUUACUAAGUCUGAUGUGAAAGCCUUCGGCUUAACCGGAGAAGGGCAUCGGAAACUGGCUAACUUGAGUGCAGAAGAGGGUAGUGGAACUCCAUGUGUAGCGGUGGAAUGCGUAGAUAUAUGGAAGAACACCAGUGGCGAAGGCGGCUACCUGGUCUGUAACUGACGCUGAGACUCGAAAGCAUGGGUAGCGAACAGGAUUAGAUACCCUGGUAGUCCAUGCCGUAAACGAUGAGUGCUAGGUGUUGGAGGGUUUCCGCCCUUCAGUGCCGGAGCUAACGCAUUAAGCACUCCGCCUGGGGAGUACGACCGCAAGGUUGAAACUCAAAGGAAUUGACGGGGGCCCGCACAAGCGGUGGAGCAUGUGGUUUAAUUCGAAGCUACGCGAAGAACCUUACCAGGUCUUGACAUCUUGCGCCAACCCUAGAGAUAGGGCGUUUCCUUCGGGAACGCAAUGACAGGUGGUGCAUGGUCGUCGUCAGCUCGUGUCGUGAGAUGUUGGGUUAAGUCCCGCAACGAGCGCAACCCUUGUUACUAGUUGCCAGCAUUCAGUUGGGCACUCUAGUGAGACUGCCGGUGACAAACCGGAGGAAGGUGGGGACGACGUCAGAUCAUCAUGCCCCUUAUGACCUGGGCUACACACGUGCUACAAUGGACGGUACAACGAGUCGCGAACUCGCGAGGGCAAGCAAAUCUCUGAAAACCGUUCUCAGUUCGGACUGCAGGCUGCAACUCGCCUGCACGAAGUCGGAAUCGCUAGUAAUCGCGGAUCAGCAUGCCGCGGUGAAUACGUUCCCGGGCCUUGUACACACCGCCCGUCA
rnacentral:rRNA from 1 species